rnacentral:misc_RNA from 1 species
CGUUAAUCGCUCGCAUUUGAACGACUGCCUUCGUCGCCUCGAGACGUUGUGUCCUUGUGGUGCUUCGUCCUCGUGCGACGUCGGCGUCCGUGAGGAAUGC